GGAUGUGAGGGCAAUCUGGGUACAACAUCUGUCACCCCAUUGAUUGCCAGGGCUGAUUUGACUGAUCUGACUGGCAAGGCGGGUGUCCUCUUCUUCCCUCAUGGCUUCAUGUGCAUCCUUCCUGAAGCUGUGUGCUCAGUUGAAGAGGAGGACCAUCCCAGAUAGAGGAGAACUGAUCUUUGGUCAAGUGGCUGAGCUCCUGUGCUAGAACCUCCAAAGAAGCUCUCAAGAGAUGACUUAAAGUGUAUGGGAGGAGCCGGGUGCUGGUGUCUCACACCUGUAAUC
ensembl:misc_RNA 7SK 7SK RNA